rnacentral:rRNA from 1 species
AUGAACGCUGGCGGCGUGCCUAAUACAUGCAAGUCGAGCGAACAGACGAGGAGCUUGCUCCUCUGACGUUAGCGGCGGACGGGUGAGUAACACGUGGAUAACCUACCUAUAAGACUGGGAUAACUUCGGGAAACCGGAGCUAAUACCGGAUAAUAUAUUGAACCGCAUGGUUCAAUAGUGAAAGACGGUUUUGCUGUCACUUAUAGAUGGAUCCGCGCCGCAUUAGCUAGUUGGUAAGGUAACGGCUUACCAAGGCAACGAUGCGUAGCCGACCUGAGAGGGUGAUCGGCCACACUGGAACUGAGACACGGUCCAGACUCCUACGGGAGGCAGCAGUAGGGAACCUUCCGCAAUGGGCGAAAGCUUGACGGAGCAACGCCGCGUGAGUGAUGAAGGUCUUCGGAUCGUAAAACUCUGUUAUUAGGGAAGAACAAAUGUGUAAGUAACUAUGCACGUCUUGACGGUACCUAAUCAGAAAGCCACGGCUAACUACGUG